rnacentral:rRNA from 1 species
GCCGCGUUAGUGUUAAGGUAGCAUAGUAAUUAGUUUCUUAAUUGGGAAAUGGAAUGAAUGGUUUCACUAAAAUAUGAUAUUUAUUCUAAUUUGCGAAAUUUUAAUCUGAGUGAAAAUACUCAGAAGAUAUAUUUAGACGAGAAGACCCUAUGAAGCUGGUAGACUUUCAAUGUAAUUAUACGAUAGUUCAUGAGUUUAUUUUUUGGGGUAAAAUUUAAUAAUAGUAUUAAUAUUGGCUUACUAAAUAAUAUCCUCUUGGAAUUAUGAAAAA